GGCUCUGUGGCGCAAUGGAUAGCGCAUUGGACUUCUAGGCUGUGAGCUGAGCCAUUCGAAGGUUGUGGGUUCGAGUCCUACCAGAGUCG
rfam:Danio rerio chromosome 4, GRCz11 reference primary assembly.